UUUGUGUCGAGUGGACAAGGUUCACGUUGUAACUUCUACUUCGGUCAGUUCCGCGGCUGCUCGGGCGCGAUCGGUUCAAAACAAGCGAUAGCGUCCACCGGCAUCUAUUUAGUUUGUUAUUAUCAACUAGUGUGCGCGAGAGUCGCCCCUUUCAACAGUUUUUUUUUUUUUGCUUGAAUAUUUUUUUACAACUGAUACUCAAUUAUGAAUUCAAAUAAUAAGGACGCGUCAAAAUCUGGAAUUAGUUCACAGUUAUCAAAUUACAACCCGUGGAAUUUGUUCACCCAGAGAUCCCGUACCGAAAGCGAAACCAGUAACAGCUCUACCAACCAAAAUUAUUCUACCGGUACACAGCACGGAUCCUUGCAGAGGCAGACAUGCAAAAGCAACGAAGAAUACCUUUGGAUGAUGUGGCGUUCCUAGUAGCACGUGUACCGUUAGCAGAACAGUUCUACUUUAUUAUAAGUUUCGAUCGUUCACAAACAUGAAUUUAAUCAUAUAUUGUGAAUAAUUUGGACAAUGUUGGAUCAAAUGGCUUUAAUCCCGUCUUGGUUGCUCAUGGCGUGGCUCGGAACGUGUAUCCUGUUCAGUCCUUUCGCCAUUUUUUUCGUGGUCUGCCUACCCCAGCUGCCACUUCUUGUUAUAAGAAGAGCGUGUCACAUACCAUUCGAGUAUAUUUGACGUGAAUUUGAUGGAAAGUGUAUAGAUAAGCCUGUAUAUAUUUGUAAAUAAUUAAUUAAUGAAUAAAAAAAUGUUAUGCUCAUA